UCUUCCAUAGUAUAGUGGUCAGUAUAUGAGCUUGUCAUUUCCUUCCCUUCACACGGAAAAUAAUUACCUCGCUCGGGACCCGGGUUCAAUUCCCGGUGGGAGAG